UGUAGAACAAACCCUUCGUUCCGUCCAUUGCAGCUGAAGAAGAUGUCAGUUAGCAUUGCUAAUGGCUUCCGUUACGCUUGACAGCAAAAAACCGGCCAUUGAUAUUGAUGCAUUGAAGGAGGCACAGAUUAGUCUUGCGGCCGAGCUGCGAUCGUGCAGCUCUGUCAAGGACUUGACGAGAGCGAAGAAAAUUCACCAGGCCAUUCUCCGGAACAAUCACCACAGGAAGGACAGGUACCUCAACAAUCUGGUCAUUGAAACUUACGGCAAGUGUGGGAGCUUGGCAGAAGCGUGCCAUGCCUUCGACAGUCCGUUUUGCUCCCCCAACGUUUUCAGCUGGACCAUCAUGGUCACCGCGUUUGCAGAGAAUGGAAAGCUCGAGGAGGCCAAGCGUGCGUUUGACUCAAUGCCCGAGAAGAACAUCGUGUCAUGGAACUCUAUCAUCGCAGCAUUUGCCCGUGAGGGGCGUCUGGAAGUAGCAAAGGGGAUGUUUGAAGCGAUGCCGGUUCAUGACUUGGUUUCGUGGAACUCAAUGGUGACGGCCUUUUCAAGAGCAAGGAAGCUUGAUUCGACUCGGCUUUUAUUCGAUUCAAUGCCAGAGUGGGAUGUGGUGGCUUGUACCGGAAUGCUUCAUGCAUUUGGCGAGGCCGGGGAUUUUGCAAAUGCGCAGAGGUUGUUUGAAGGAAUGGCCGAGUGGAACGCUGCCUCUUGCAAUGCUGUUAUAGCCGGGCUAACUUCAAGCGGGAAGCUGGAGGAGGCUAGAAAAGUUUUUGAUACGAUGAUGUCCGAGGUGGUGGAAAAUGAUCCUCAAAGAGAAACUUUGCUUCCGGAGAGGAACUUGGUCACCUGGAACUCGAUGAUGGCUGCUUAUUCUCAAGCUGGGAAACUCGAAGAGGCCAAAGUUUUGUUUGAUCGGAUGCGGUCGAGGAACAUCGUCUCGUGGAACUCCAUUCUACAGGCUUAUGCCCAAGCCGGGUGUAUCGAGGAACUGGAACAGGUGUUUGAGCUUAUGCCCGAGAGAAACGUCGUCAGCUUUACGUGUCUGCUUCAAGCUUACGCCGACAAUGGCCUUCUCCUUCAGGCGAAGAGGCUCUUUGAUCGCAUGCCGGACAGGAACGUAGUGUCGUGGACGACCAUGUUUCAAGCCUAUACUCAAAACGGGCAUCUCGAGCAGGCGAAGCUGAUCUUCAACGCCAUGCCAGAACGCAGUGUUGUGUCAUGGAACUCUAUGGUGGCAACCGAGUGUGCAAGUGGUCAUCCGGCAAAAGCCAAGGGAGUGUUUGAUGCUAUGCCGGAGUGGGACGCAGUGACUUUCACGCUGAUGGUUGCGACGUAUGCUCACUUCGGGCAUGGAGGAGAAGCCAUGGGCCUCGUCUGGACAAUGAACCUCGAAGGCAUGGAACCGGACGAGAUAGCUUUCACCAGUAUCCUCACGGGCUGCAACCACGGUGGUCUCGUCGAAGAGAGCUUGCUGGUCUUUGUGCUUCUAACUGGAGAUCAUGGAGUCCCGACUCGUCUGGAACACUUCAGCUGCGUGAUCGAUCUCCUCGCGCGAAGUGGUCAGAUUGAGAAGGCAAAGGAGCUCGUCCUCUCGUCGUCAGAACUUGAAUCGAGUUCCGCGUGGGGUGCUAUACUAAACGCUUGCAAGAUUCACAGGAACUUGAGCCAGGCAAGCUAUGCUUCGGACAAGCUCGCCAAGCUGGAACCGGGAUGCUCGUCACCUCAUGUUCUGCUAGCAAGCGUGAUGGGCUCUACGUGAGGGAGCAGCACUGAAAACGGGGUUUUUGAAAUCACAGUUGCGAUCGGUGACGCAAGCGGUCAGUGCGAGUAUCCAUAGCUGAUUAUAAACACACUCCGCAGUCUUGAAGGAGCUCUCGGAAGGUCAGAAUGCUUUCGGCAGCACGUCAAGUCGAAGAGCAAGAGCAGGCGGCGGUGCCUCUGCUGGGUUCCAAGAAAGGAGCAGGGUAUCCAGGUUGCCCCGGCUGCAAGGCUGCGCAUCUCCAAAGGAAAAAUGCGCCGGUGCCAUACAAGCUACUUGGCUUUCUGGGAGUUGUUACCCUCGCCAACUGUCUGCCAAUCUCGGUUUUGUACCCGUUUGUGUAUUUCAUGGUGAAAGACUUUCACGUCGCGAAAUCGGAUGAAGACAUUGGAUAUUAUGCUGGCUGGCUUGGCUCUUCGUUUAUGGCUGGAAGAGCUGUGACUGGACUUUUCUGGGGGAGGAUUGCAGACAAGUAUGGUCGAAAGUCUGCUAUGUAUCUUGGUAUUACUUCAGUAUUGGUGUUCAACACCCUGUUCGGAAUGAGUACUAAUUUCGCAAUGGCUCUGGUGACCCGUUUUAUCCUUGGAAGCUUCAAUGGGAUUCUCGGAGUGGUGAAAGCUUAUGCUUCUGAGAUUUGCAGUGAGGAGCAUCAGGCAGUUAGUAUGUCA